rnacentral:rRNA from 1 species
UAGGGAAUAUUAGUAAUGGGCGAAAGCCUGAACUAGCAACACCGCGUGUGCGAAGAAGGCCUUCGGGUUGUAAAGCACUUUUUGAGAGGAUGAGGAAGGACGGUACUCUCAGAAUAAGUCUCGGCUAACUACGUGCCAGCAGCGGCGGUACCACGUAGGAGGCAAACGUUAUCCGGAUUUACUGGGCGUAAAGCGCGAGUAGGUGGUUUGGUAAGUAGGGCGUGAAAGCUCCUGGCUCAACUGGGAGAGGGCGUUCUAAACUGCCGGACUAGAGGAUGGUAGAGGGAGGUGGAAUUUCGGGUGUAGCGGUGGAAUGCGCAGAUAUCCGGAGGAACACCAGUGGCGAAAGCGGCCUCCUGGACCACGCCUGACACUCAGACGCGAAAGCUAGGGUAGCAAACG